CGGCAUGCCUAAUACAUGCGNGUCGAGCGAAUGACGAAGAAGCUUGCUUCUUCUGAUUUAGCGGCGGACGGGUGAGUAACACGUGGGCAACCUGCCCUGUAGAUUGGGAUAACUCCGGGAAACCGGGGCUAAUACCAAAUAAUCCAUUUCCUCNCAUGUGGAAAUGUUAAAAGACGGUUUCGGCUGUCACUACAGGAUGGGCCCGCGGCGCAUUAGCUAGUUGGUAGGGUAACGGCCUACCAAGGCGACGAUGCGUAGCCGACCUGAGAGGGUGAUCGGCCACACUGGGACUGAGACACGGCCCAGACUCCUACGGGAGGCAGCAGUAGGGAAUCUUCCACAAUGGACGAAAGUCUGAUGGAGCAAUGCCGCGUGAGUGAAGAAGGUUUUCGGAUCGUAAAACUCUGUUGUAAGGGAAGAACAAGUACGAGAGUAACUGCUCGUACCUUGACGGUACCUUAUUAGAAAGCCACGGCUAACUACGUGCCAGCAGCCGCGGUAAUACGU
rnacentral:rRNA from 1 species